ensembl:lncRNA
AACUUAUUGCACUUCUACUGUUACACGGCAUGGAAAGCAGCCUGCUUAGUGAGGAGAUGCAGGCAGUGAAGGAGGAGAUAUAUUUCCAUUUUAAUAUGAGCUCUUCUCAAGGUUUGUUAUGGGGACGUCAGCUGGACCACAAAGCAAACACUUUGUGAGGUGCUCACCUGCAAUUUCACCACAAACAGGAGAGGUCCUGGAGCGAACCGAUGGCAUUGGGAGUUUGCUCCUGGCCAGCCCAGAUUGCCUCCAUCUACCAAACCUCAUCCCAGUGGUCUCUCCUGAAGCUCAUGUUUGCCACCCAUGGAGCCACAGUAAUCAUUCGGUGCAGCCAAGAGCAUCACAGCGAUGCUGUAUCCAUCCUGAGCUGCAGCGGUGGCUGUCCUUUCCCCAGCAUCCCUGACCCAACCUGGGUCCUGAAUGCUCUUUGUGGUGAGGCCCCGGCACUGCCCAGAGUUGUGGGUGCCCCAUCCCUGGAAGUGCCUGAGGCCAUGGAUGGGUCCUGAGCAGCCUGAGCUGAAGGGCAGCCAGCCCUUGAUUUAACUACAGGCUCCGACGUUACAGCAUCCUGUUGCUCUCCCAUAGCAGACUGAGCAUACGUUUUUUUUUUAAACGCCUCUAACAUAUUGCAUCAGCAAUCACAGCGUUGUGAUAGCCCGACUUUUUAGCUUGAUUACACCACAAGAUGAGCUUUUAAGCUUUUAUGAGAAUGCCAUAAAUGUCAGCGGGGAGAUGAAACACCCCGACAGAAAGCGAAUGCUGGGCUCUGGUGGAGCCCUACGGACUGUGCUGAUGGGAGCCCUGCACUCCUUGUUCCCUCUCUUCUACAGCCGACGUUGUCCCGCAUUUUCACUUCUCCAAAAAGAUUUAAUUAUGUCAACAAUGGCAUCGAUGAGUUACUGCGACAUUUUGAAGCCCAGCAAAAAUGGUGGUUAGAGCACUCCCAGUCAACACGCCUCCUACCACCGCAUUCCGAGUGCAGUAUUAAGGUUCAUGGAGUUCAGAAACAAACUGUUUAAUUGCUGGACACAGGAUAUAUUUUGAUCUCCUUCAAUAAAAGAAAAUGAAUGAAA